rnacentral:lncRNA from 1 species
CGGGAUGUGCCGAAGAAAGAUAGAUAUUUUUGCUAAGAUUAAUCACAUCUAUUUAAUUAAAAAAGAGAUACAACUUUGCUAGUACAAAAUUAAUUCAAAACUCUCGAGCUCUUUAUUUUCUAAUUACAUCAAUUUUAAGAUAAUUUAUUUUCUAAAUCAAAAAUAAUACUUCUUUCUUUUAUUUUGUAAUCUCAACUUAGCCCA